rnacentral:lncRNA from 1 species
GCUCCACCUUCUGUAACGGAUACUGCGCGAUUCUUCCAUCCACUGGCAAGUCGCGACAACGGACACCGCUCCACUCCCUGCGGCAGACUCCACGUGGCGCGCUGCAGUGAGGGCCAUGGGUCUACUCCACUACUCCUCGCAAUAAAUUUCUCCUGACAGUGGGCGGCCCACUACGAGACGGUUAUGAACGUCGCUAUCAGUUUGUUGAGCCCUCCGCCUA